rnacentral:rRNA from 1 species
UACAGAGGUCCCAAGCGUUGUUCGGAUUCACUGGGCGUAAAGAGCGCGUAGGCGGUCCGAUAAGUCGGCUGUGAAAGUCUAGGGCUCAACCCUGGAAAGCCGGCCGAUACUGUCGGACUAGAGUCCGGAAGAGGCGAGUGGAAUUCCCGGUGUAGCGGUGAAAUGCGCAGAUAUCAGGAAGAACACCCGUGGCGAAGGCGGCUCUCUGGGACGGUACUGACGCUGAGACGCGAAAGCGUGGGGAGCGAACAGG